rnacentral:lncRNA from 1 species
CUACAUACAGUUAUUAGUGUGUAAAAAAUACAUUGAUGUAUGUGAUGUCUGUAUCUAUAUGAUGUGUAUAUAUUGAUAUGUUUGUGUGUAAAGUAAAAAUUGUCUAUAUAUAGUGCACUAAUAUAUACAUAUUUAUAUACAUUGCGGUGUAUGACUAUAUACACAUUUAUUAUUAGUUUAUACAGUUAUUAACGUAUAUGUAUACUGAUUUAUAUACUACAGAUACACACACUCACAUUAACACUCAUGCUCACACUCACACACUCACACUCAUACUCAUACUUUCACUCACACUCUCACACUCACACUCACACUCACACUCACACUCAUACUCACUCACAAUCACAAUCACAAUCACAAAAAUAUAUGCUACACAUAUGUGUUGUGUAUAGACUGAUGUGUGUUUAUAUACGAUAUGUAUAUACUGAUAUAUUUAUGCGUGUAUAUAUGUUUG